rnacentral:lncRNA from 1 species
CUCUUCCCCAUACAGUAAACAUGGAAAACUCCACAGUCGAGCAACUUUCCAAAAUGGAAGAGUUCGCCUUUAAUUCCAUUUGCCUCGAAGAUAGGAAACAGGGUCUUCAAAAUCUGCCACCACCAAGCUGAGCUCAAAGCGUUUAAUGAGGAUUUAAAAGCAGCCAUGUCUCGUUUCAGCUGGAGGAACAUCAAACCACCAUCUGGUAGGUGCUGGAGACAUCUGACAGUGACAGGUGGACAGCUGCACAAAUCACCUACUCUGGACACGUGAGCCUUCAGGAAGUGUUAUAAAUAGGCUGUGAGGCAGCUUCAGUUACCAGUGACUACGUAGUGUGAAUUUCUUCAAAUCAUAAUCUUAUCAAAUUGAAAGUCCCUGGUUUGGAUAUUUAAAUGCUUCAAUUCCUUUACAUAUUUCACUUAAUAUUUUCAUGGAUUUGUUACCCCACCUUUUCAGUCACUACUUUAGUAUGCAGCAUAAGGAACAUUAGUGAGCACCAACUCUGGCACAAGACUGCCUGGGUUCUUGUUCUUUUUCUUUUCUUCCCUCCUUUCCUUUCAAUUCUUGAUUUUGCCAAUUGUAUGAACUUCAACAAAUCACUCAAUUUCUUCAUGUUUCC